rnacentral:lncRNA from 12 species
CUAAGAGUCUCUUGUCUUUGUAAAAGCUUUCAAUAAAACCAUCCACAGUCCUUCCUCCCUCAUGAAUGGGCUGUAUGACGCACACCGCUGCCUCCUAGCAUGAUGCCUGGAACUGAACUCCUUCAUAUGGAACCAGAGUGAGUCAUGUCUGCAACUCUCAGGACUGUGAUUGGACUUGAUCAAGACUCUUGACUGCAGAAGAAGUCUACGAAUACGAUUUAAUUGUAAAUCAUGGCUAAAGAACUUGCCAGCAGACACUUGGCCUGCCAAUGGUAGCACUGGAUGUGCGGUGCUGGCUUGGGACAGGUGAUGAAGGAUGGUGGCUUCCUGGGACCAUGCUGCCCAAGACGGAUGGACCCACGGAAGCAGAUGAUGCCUCUUGAGUUAUUCAGUGAAGUACUUGUAUGCUGUCAUUUAAACCUAUGUUUCAUCAACCAGUACAAGCCAUAUGGCCAAAGCCAGCACCAAUGA